GGUGUUCUUCCCGAUAUCUACACAUUCCACCGUUACACCGGGAAUUCCAGUCUCCCCUACCGCACUCAAGCCCGCCCGUACCCGGCGCGGAUCCACCGUUAAGCGAUGGACUUUCACACCGGACGCGACGAACCGCCUACGAGCCCUUUACGCCCAAUAAAUCCGGAUAACGCUUGCACCCUACGUAUUACCGCGGCUGCUGGCACGUAGUUAGCCGGUGCUUAUUCGAACAAUCCACUCAACACGGCCGAAACCGUGCCUUGCCCUUGAACAAAAGCGGUUUACAACCCGAAGGCCUCCAUCCCGCACGCGGCGUCGCUGCAUCAGGCUUGCGCCCAUUGUGCAAUAUUCCCCACUGCUGCCUCCCGUAGGAGUCUGGGCCGUAUCUCAGUCCCAAUGUGGCCGGUCGCCCUCUCAGGCCGGCUACCCGUCAACGCCUUGGUAGGCGUUACCCCACCAACAAGCUGAUAGGACGCGAACCCAUCCCAUGCCGCAAAAGCCUUUCCCACACUCGCAUGCGCUCAUGUGGAACAUCCGGCAUUACCACCGUUUCCAGGAG
rnacentral:rRNA from 1 species